CCUACGGGUGGCUGCAGUGAGGAAUAUUGGUCAAUGGACGGAAGUCUGAACCAGCGAUGCCGCGUGCAGGAAGACGGCUCUAUGAGUUGUAAACUGCUUUUGUACAAGGGUAAACCUGAAUACGUGUAUUCAGCUGAAAGUACUGUACGAAUAAGGAUCGGCUAACUCCGUGCCAGCAGCCGUGGUGAUACGGAGGAUCCAAGCGUUAUUCGGAUUUAUUGGGUUUAAAGCGUGCGUAGGCGGAUUGAUAAGUUAGAGGUGAAAUGUCCGAGCUUAACUCGGGAACUGCCUCUAAUACUGGUGAACUAGAGAGUAGAUGCGGUAGGCGGAAUGUAUGGUGUAGCAGUGAAAUGCUUAGAGAUCAUAAAGAACACCGAUGGCGAAGGCAGCUUACCAAUAUAUAUCUGACGUUGAGGCACGAAAGCGUGGGGAGCAAACAGGAUUAGAUACCCCUGUAGUC
rnacentral:rRNA from 1 species